UGGGAUGUAGCUCAGUGGCAAAGCGCUUGCCUAGCAAGCGCAACGUCCUGGGUUCGAUUCCCAGUACCAA
rnacentral:tRNA from 1 species